rnacentral:rRNA from 1 species
AGAAUGAACGCUGGCGGCAUGCCUAACACAUGCAAGUCGAACGAAGUCCUUCGGGGCUUAGUGGCGCACGGGUGCGUAACGCGUGGGAAUCUACCCUUAGGUUCGGAAUAACAGUUGGAAACGACUGCUAAUACCGGAUGAUGACGUAAGUCCAAAGAUUUAUCGCCUAGGGAUGAGCCCGCGUAGGAUUAGCUAGUUGGUGUGGUAAAGGCGCACCAAGGCGACGAUCCUUAGCUGGUCUGAGAGGAUGAUCAGCCACACUGGGACUGAGACACGGCCCAGACUCCUACGGGAGGCAGCAGUGGGGAAUAUUGGACAAUGGGCGAAAGCCUGAUCCAGCAAUGCCGCGUGAGUGAUGAAGGCCUUAGGGUUGUAAGCUCUUUACCCGGAUGAUAAUGACAGUACCGGGAGAAUAAGCUCCGGCUAACUCCGCGCCACGCACGCCGC